AUAGCUUUGGGGUUGAGGUUGCUUGCUCCAGGUCUGCAAGAUGAAUCAAAGAAGGAAAAAUCGGCAUCUUCGUUCAUACAUCAUUAGAUUCAUGUGGGAUAUCAUGUCGGUAACAUGAAUAGUAUCUUCUCAAAUGCAGCCAAUAUGUUGGUAAUGAUCUUUAUCUCAUCUUCUCAAGUGGAAUUUCCGAGUCUCCUUGGCACUUUCAUGGUUCUGUAUACACAAUUUACAUAAUGGAGGCAGCUCCAAGACCAAGCCGGUGCAGGGAGUCCCGGGACUGAAUUAAGGGGGAUAAUUAAGCAACAGGAAGACCAGCCAAAUCUACAAGAUACCAGCACGUAUCUAACUAAAAAUUUAGUACUCCUAAAACCACAGAGACCCACCUCAGAAGGAUGCAAAUACUACUGCUAUAUGACAGACGAUUGACAGUUUCAUACCCAAAACAGAAUGCAGUUAGGUUGUCGGUGUCGCGGGUAUCGGGUACCCACAAACCCUCAUGCGUGCGGCACACAGUGGCUCCUUGCCGGGAGAUCACCUAGGCAUCAGCAUAUCCAAGAAUCAUCCAAGGCUCCUCCCUGGAGAUACAAGUGAAGCACAGACAUCCAGGCAGGUCAUCGAGAGGUGCUACCUUCGUGACCCUCGGCUUCCGCACCAACAAUAAGGUAUAAGGAGAUAUCAAGACAUCCGCAUUCUUCCCAGGAACGCCCAAGUCGUGGGCUCCCAUGAACAAGUCGCGAACAUCCAAGCCGUUACCUUCCCAAAACGAGCAGCCACUUUAUCAACUUUGUAAUCUCUUCCCACCAAAGAAACCAACCAGCAAGAGUAGGGUUUUACGCACCAUGCGGCCCAAACCUGGGUAAAUAUCAGUGUCCCCAACGACUCUCGCCGAUGUUGCAUCUGUGUUCGCCGCGCCACCCUUGAACAAGAAAAAGGGGCAGCCUUUGCCCCUGGUGUCAAGCACAGCUAGGUAAAUGCUCCAAGAUGGUUAAACAUUUCACUGAGUGACUUGUCAAAUUAAUUCCA
rnacentral:lncRNA from 1 species